AUGCUCCUUGUUGUGUUAAGUGUUGGCAGAUCUCUGGUUGCGUCAUUGGCGCACCGGACUUAAACCUCGGACUUCCCCCUCCCCCAACGAAGUCCGAGGUUUUUUUUCGUCUUGAC
rnacentral:sRNA from 2 species